GACGAACGCUGGCGGCGUGCUUAACACAUGCAAGUCGAACGGAAAGGCCCUGCUUUUGUGGGGUGCUCGAGUGGCGAACGGGUGAGUAACACGUGAGUAACCUGCCCUUGACUUUGGGAUAACUUCAGGAAACUGGGGCUAAUACCGGAUAGGAGCUCCUGCUGCAUGGUGGGGGUUGGAAAGUUUCGGCGGUUGGGGAUGGACUCGCGGCUUAUCAGCUUGUUGGUGGGGUAGUGGCUUACCAAGGCUUUGACGGGUAGCCGGCCUGAGAGGGUGACCGGCCACAUUGGGACUGAGAUACGGCCCAGACUCCUACGGAAGGCAGCAGUGGGGAAUAUUGCACAAUGGGCGGAAGCCUGACGCAGCAACGCCGCGUGCGGGAUGACGGCCUUCGGGUUGUAAACCGCUUUCGCCUGUGACGAAGCGUGAGUGACGGUAAUGGGUAAAGAAGCACCGGCUAACUACGUG
rnacentral:rRNA from 1 species